AGAUAAAGAUCAGUCAUCGUCCCUGUGUAAAAGCUGCUUUCUAAAGAAGCCCAAUAAAAAAUGAGAGCAAGAUAGGCCUAGGCCCUAGCAUCUUUGUCGCUGGUAAAACACGUCUAAAAAAGCAUGACGUCAUAUAUUACGCUACGCGUAAUGGAUGGUUGCAAGAACGAAUUUUCGUAAAUGAAAAUUCAUUAUUAGGGGCCUAGCCUAGGCUUAGAUAAUGUUCAAUUCAGCGCCUAUUGUGGAUGCCAAGGAAUAUAUACUGUAGGAACAAGACGCUCAGAUGAUUUCACUAAGAAAGAAGUCAAAGGUUGGGCAGGUUCAUUCGUUGAAGACGCAGCAAGUUACUAACUAUGUUGAACAAACUCACUUUAAUCAUUUCACAUUUUAUUAGAGAACCGAUGAAACACAUUUCACAGCUAUGGGAAAACUCUAUUUGAGACAACUGUGGCUCGUCCCAGAGAAAAACGAAAGCAAGUGAGAAAGAUGUACGCAAGCGAUAUGGAUCUGAAGGACCUUGGGGGAAAGUAUGGAUUAAAAGACAGUUGAUGUUCAUCCAACAGAGGAGGAGAAAGAAGAUUUAGAUGAACUUUUAACAGAGAGAAGUAAAACAAGAAGACAAACAGAAAAAAAAAAGCAGGAGAGGAAAAAUGUACAUUACAUCUCAAAGAUGCGUACGAUUAUCAAGACCGCUCCUUACUACACAUUCCAAUGGAUCUUGACGUCGACCUCAAGUCAGAGGACCCGCCUGAGAAAUGUUACCUGCCGAAGAAGCUCCUACACACCUGGACGGGACACACAAAAGUUGUGGGAAGUGUAUAACAAAAGGUGUGUUAUCUGUCUGUCCAUGAUGCAUUCUUCAAUAAUAUUGGUGAUAAGUUUAUCAGCACAGGCUAUGACCGAUACAUGAAAAUUUGGAAUACAGAAACGGAACUGGAAAUUUAAAGCGCUUCGAAAAUUAUUUACUCCUGUCUUGCGCUACAAAUAAUAAUAAUAAUAAUAAUAAUAAUAUCUCAAAUUUAUAUGGCGCCAAUUUCAAACAAGAUCGAAGGCGCAACACAUGUGAAAAGCCACCAGUAAACAAAUAGGUCUUAGAGUUGGAAGAAGUUAUGUAAUUUGGAAGUUGGUUCCAGAAAUAGACAGAUGCAAAAGUAAAAGAACAUUGACCGUAGGUUUUGGUACAGCAAUUGGAGACAGAAAAAGAACGUAAAUAUGAAGAUUCAUUCAGAUGGAGAGCUUUAAAGGUCAGAACAAGUAAUUUAAAUGCAAUGAACAAGUAAUUUAAAUUGCAAUGCAAUAAAAUGUUGUUUGUUAUCAUAAUAUUAUGUUUGCCCAAUUCUUGU